rnacentral:lncRNA from 1 species
UUGGACUUUGUAGCCCAUGAGACUUCACAGGGUUUGGUCUCUUGUCAAAGUAGCAUACAGUUCUAUGCCAGUGAACUCCUUCCAAGUAGGUCUGACUCCCGCCCCUCUCCCCAGCAGAACCUGGACUUCUGUCCCCGAGGAUUAGUCUACUUGCCCAUCCCUUGCUAUCAAAAGACUUAUACAAGAAAGGAGGAAGAAGGCUUUCCAAACUCCAGUCCCAACUGUGAAAUCAUUGCAGACUCUUACCUUCGCAAGUUGGCAAGUAAGCAGGAGAAAGAAGGGCCUCUCCAGGCUCUCCCAGCCUCCUCUCUACCAUGGCUCUAUUUCCACUCAGUGUGGCAGCCACUUAGGAGGAGUCAUAUGUCACGGAGCACAUAUCGAAAGGCCAGAACAAGCUUUCCUCUUUUGAGAAGCUGCACGAAUCUGGAUUAUGUGAAGGAAAUGAUCCAGACUGAAGAGAGAACGUAUAGGACAACACCUCAGCACCUUUCCUACCCAUCAUUCUCCACAUGGAGGACCGGGGAGACUGCUGGUCCAGUACUACCACCAGGGAGUCCACACUGUGAUGUACAACUCUGCUGAAAGACGCCAACGGGGCAACCUGAAGACAUGGAGUCAAGAGGACAAACACUGGCCUAGCAUAAAAGCGUUUCCUGUAGCCCAGUUUGAACAUCACUUUUUUGUUGCCACUGUUUUCGUCUGCCUUUAAAUCAGUGGCUCCUAGAUGCCAGGGGCUAUACUCUUGAUAUGUCAUGCUAAGUUGCUUCAGUCAUGUCCGACUCUGCAACCCCAUGGACUGUAGCCCACCAGGCUCCUCUGUCCAUGGGAUUUUUCCAGGCAAGAAUACUGGAAUGGGUUGCUAUUUCCUUCUCCAGGAGAUCUUCCCAACCCAGGAACAGAACCUGGGUCUCCCCCAUUGCAGGCAGAUUCUUUACCAUCUGAACCACCAGGGAAGCCCAGAGUAUUUUACGAUAUUACCUUUUCAUUCAUGUAUGAUAUUACAUUUUUAAUUCAACCAGUAGAUCUACUUGGUAAAUGAAUCAAUGAGGCCAUUGGAAAAAAGUAUAUAAAACAGCAAGUAUAUUAUCAUUAAAAAAAAGAACAAUGAUGAGCUCCUGAUAUAACAAGGAUAAAAUACGUAAAAAUACUUCCCUGGCAAUCCAGUGGUUAGGACUCUGUGCUUCCACUGCAGAGGGCACAGAUUCUAUCCUGGUGAGGGAACUAAGACCCCACAUACUUCAGCUAGCAACUAAAGCUCCUACAGGCUGCAGCCAAGACCCAGUACAGCCAAAUAAAAAUAUUUUCAAUGCAGUGAGUUCUUUAAAUUUUAUGGGAACUUUUUGUUGAUUUGUUGUUUCCUCAAAGAAAUAUCAUGAAGUAUAGUUGCAUCUAGGAAAAUCUUCUUGAGAAUUCUAACUAGAAAUAUAAACAAACAAACAAAAAAAAACUAAAGGAAUUUUAUAUCUCUUCUAGAAUAUAUGCACACACUCAAUUUUGAUGACUAGUAGGCAACUGUAAAAUAUUCUCAAAUGAAAGAAAAUCUUAGUCUGAUACAUAUUCCAGCCUAAGGUUUAAAAAAAUAGCAUUCUGUAAGGGAGUUAAUUACAUUGAGUAUCUGAAGGCUUCCCAAUGAGUCAAUAACAUCUUCCAAUAGAAUCCAAGCCAUUAGAAUCUCUAUAUAGCGAAAACACACUUUAACUCUGUGGGCCUUCCCCUCAUGUUGCAGGGGGGUUGGAGGAUAAACAGGGUCUAGAACCUGGAGCUGUGCCUUUCAAGUGUGAAGGUGAGCUCAUAGCUCUCAUCAGUAGAACAGAAGGUUUGAGAGGUUUCAAACAAAUAAUCAUCUCUGCUUAUCUAUCCAUUCUCUCUUGAAGGGGGUGUCUCUGUUUAAAAAAAAAAAAAAAAAAUUCUCUGU